UGGGGAAUAUUGCACAAUGGGGGAAACCCUGAUGCAGCGACGCCGCGUGAGCGAAGAAGGUUUUCGAAUCGUAAAGCUCUGUCCUAUGGGAAGAUAAUGACGGUACCAUAGGAUGAAGCCCCGGCUAACUACGUGCCAGCUGCCGCGGUAAUACGUAGGGGGCAAGCGUUGUCCGGAAUCACUGGGCGUAAAGGGUUCGCAGGAGGAAAUGCAAGUCAGUUGUGAAAGGCAGAGGCUCAACCUCUGUAAGCAAUUGAAACUGUAUAUCUUGAGAUGUGGAGAGGCAAGUGGAAUUCCUAGGGUAGCGGUGAAAUGCGUAGAUAUUAGGAAGAAAACCGGUGGCGAAGGCGACUUGCUGGACACAAACUGACGCAGAGGAACGAAAGCGUGGGUAGCAAACAGG
rnacentral:rRNA from 1 species